GUCUUUGUAGUAUAUAAAUACCUUGGUCUUGUAAACCAAAAAAGGAGAACACAUACCCUCCCUAAGACU
rnacentral:tRNA from 1 species